GGGAAAUAGUGAUAUCAGAAAUGUUUCCAAUACAGCCAACAUCAAAAGAAAUGUAACGAUUAGCAUCCAGAAUUCCCCCAAAAAAAAAUAAACAAAACUGAAAAUUUGCAAAUUGUUGAGGUAUUUCUUGAAAAGGAUGAUGCACUUAGUAAAAACAGUACAUCAUAUCUCAAUGCAAAGGGUAGCAAUAGUCGAAAGACUGAAAGCCAAAAUAAGUUUGACGAAGCUCUUGACCAUCAACAUGAAUAAACAAUGAGUUUACAGCAUUUGGCAUAACGUGUAUUAUAGAGAAGGUUCAUGGUGUGCCGAUUGUCAAAACGUUUCUCUUUUUGGAGGGGCUCGGUUUUCUAUAAGUGGAUUUCACCAUAAAAAUUCUUAGCGGAUUUCACCAAUAUUUAACAUGAGUGGGUAGAACAUAGCAGAAUUGAGCAUUUUCAGUGUUAAAUGAGAAAAGUAAUGUUAAUUUAAAUGUUUAGAAAUGUACGCCAACAGAUUCGCGUAUUUACAAUGCGCAAACGACUAUGGAUAUCAUUUAUAGAUAUUGUGAAAGAUAUAUAUGAUAUCAAAGCACAUAAGUAUGAUGAUGAAUUCCAUUAAUCAUAAUUACCUAAAUAUUAUAAUUAAUAAAGUUUUGUUAAGUUAUUAUAUAGUA